ensembl:snoRNA
GUAGCCCUGAAUCAAGGCCCGCAGCUUGCUGUAGCUGUUGGUUUCAAACAGCGGCUGACACAAAACACUUCUUAAGGUCUGUUGACUUUCCCAAAAUGAUCUGAUGGGUUAAGUCGAUUUCAUUUUGAAGGAACAUUU